GCAUAUGAAACGUCAUCGAGAGAUAAAUCGAAGUGAAAGAGAUCGCAUUUGAGAUUAGUUAUCGUUACCCUAGUGUCGCCACAGUAGAUGCUCCAAAGAACCAGAGAUGAAGUAGAGAUAAGGAGAGAUCAGGGUUGUUUUCAGGGAACCAAACAAUACUAUUCCAGGGAACGAUAGUGAAAGUCUCUCUAAGCGCAUAAUAGAUACUACCUGUGUUAUGGCGAUUCUUGCGAUGGUCAUCAAUCCACCACUGAUCAUGCAGGAGGAAGAUUCCAAUUCUCUCGCCUCCAAAGGUCAGCUAGACGAGUACCCCUUCGAAUGCCAAUCUGGUAGAGCCUGUCACCUUGAAGAUAAGUCAUCAUUUUACCCAGCUUACUCCAGUUUUCUGUCCAGAAUUGUGUAGAUUUACCAUUACCUAGUUUAACUUUAAUCCAAGGGUAAGCAGCAUCUCUAAUCUUUAGCAACUUAUUUGUAAACCAGGAGAAUCUGUUGCUUGGCUUACAGGUCCAGAAGGAGCUCAUGUCAUUUGAUAGCACUACCCUUCGAUACCAGGCCACACAUACCGAACCAGAUCUAAAGAAGAGCAACCAGAUGAGCUUGACCAUACACACUUUAUUCCAAGACCAAACCUGAGCUCCAAAAAUUGGAUAUGCCAGCAAUAACUGAGUGUAACAUUUGGAGUCUUCCAGCAAAUGAGAGAGAUUUCGUAGACCAGGCAUUGAAGUGACUUUUAACCUUCUGUAACACUGGAGCACAAUCGAGAAGGUAGUGACAAUGUGAUCAAUUUCAGGCUGAGAUAGUCCUGAUGUGAAGAAGCUAGUCUUAGGAAGACUUAUCGCUAGUCCUGAAACAACAUCUUUGAGGACUUGGAGGACUUUCUGCAGUGAAGAGGCCGAUCCAUCAAUGAAUAUCAACAGAAAGACAGUUCAUAGCUAAUACAAAGAGAUAGGGCGAUAGUGGAUCCCCUUGGCGCAAUCCUCUUAACCCUUUGAAGUAUUCAUAGCUAAUACGAAAAGCAAUCCCCUUUUUGUUUUGUUUUUCGUAGAGAGAAAAUUCUCUGGUGAACGUGUGCAGUUUAGCCGAGACCAGUUGCUUCAGGUCAAACAGUCGGUUCAACUCUCUGAUGAUAUCCUGAGGCGCUGUAAGGAAAUCGCAGUUGAGCUUUUUGCCGAAGAUCAGAGUUGGAGGAAUCGUGCAGCCGAGAGUAAACCAACAAACCAGCCUUAGAUUAGUUAUUCCCAGCCUAAUACCCGUGACUGGCAUAGUCGUCCUCCGGUUCCAACCUCUGGUAAAAAAUGGUUAAGAGACGACUCUCAUGAACCUAAAAAUACAUCUCAAUGGUCUGGUCCUGCCCCCGUGCUGGUGAAAGCAGAAGUCCCAUGGUCAGCUAAAAGAGGAGCUCUUUCAGAUAAAGACCGAGUCCUCAAAACUGUGAAAGGGUUUUGUCAACAAACUAAUAUUAGUCUUUUCUUUUCAGCUUUUGUGCUUGAAGUUGAUUGUGAUGUAUAUCUUCUGAUUGUUAUGAUUUCUCUGCUGUAUUCUGAACAAGCUUACCCCGGAGAAGUAUGAGCUUCUUAAACGGAGAAGUACGAGCUUCUUAAAGGUCAAUUGAUUGAUUUUGGCAUCACUUCUGCUGAUAUCCUAAAGGAGUGAUACAACUGAUUUUUGAGAAUGCUAUACUGCACUCGACGUUCUGCGAGUUGUACGCUUGUUUGUGUUUUGAUAUUAACGGAAAGCUUCCUUCGUUUCCACCUGAAGAACCUGGUGGCAAAGAAGUAACUUUCAACAACCGGGGAUACACAUUGAUGAAAUUGCCUAGCAAUUGAAGAUCCCAAAGAACAAGCUAAAGGGCGUUAUCUAAUCACUGGAAGGAGAUGGUCUAAUAUAGUACUCGACAAUCGAUGAGUAUCACUUCAAGCACGUCGAGCUCUGAUUUAAUCUAAAAGUCAUCUAGAGUUUGGUUAAUCCGUAGAUAAAAGAGUCAUUAGUAUUGUUUGGUGGUUUGAGAGAUGUUUUCAAUUUCUAGAACCUAGGAUCACGUUUAUAUAGCUCACUUAUGUUGUUUCAUAGGACAUGUGACCAAUUCUUGCUUAGGGGUAUACCAUUUUUUUAAAAGAGUAAAUAUGUAUAUCAAUUUAAUAGCAAAGAUAGGACUGUAUUUUUUUUUUUUUAAAAAGAGUUAAUUUAGAAAAAGAGAAAAAAACAUAGAGUAGUUUUCAUAAAAUAUAUUGUAGAUACAAAGUCUAUGUUUUAUACAAACUAGUUAUAGCCAUCAUAAUUGAUUCAUGUGUGGUUAAAGAGUCAUGAGAAGCCUAAAAAGCCACAAUUUAUACCCAUCAGCUAUAAACAUAUAAGUCAGCUCCUUUUUAGACUAUUUCUUAACAGUUCUUAUGUUUUUUUCUAUCAGUUGGAAUCAAGUCAAUUUUUUUUUCUCUAGUAAUUCCAUAGCUCUGCUCUCUCUAAUUUGCUCUUCUACAUUGUCAAGCUCAGGUGUCGUUAGUGGUUUCUUCAAAGAAUAUAUUUUGAUUAUGCUUGUUUUUAAGUUCUUCUUUCUCCAUUGUUGACAUUCUAGUCUUCCACAUCUUAAAAAGGUAAACCAUGGAGAAAAGAGAACUUAAAAGUCUUUAGAACUUUACCUUCAACACUGCACCGAUCAUUUUGCAACACUGAUUUUCUAACACUGCAUGUCAUUUUCAGAACUUUAUAGAUUCAUUGUAUAUAUGCAACGAAGCCUAUUAAUCUGUUUCUUCUUAAUCCUUCGAUUGUAAAAAGAAGAGGAGAGCUGAACAACACAAAGCAGUAGAGGGGAAAGAGAAAACAAAAACACGAGACGCAUGCGCUUUUUUGUAAGGAGUUACAUCUGUACCAUGGUCCAUGGAUCUCUUCCCAUUCCAUUCAAGGUAACCAUGGCACUGACAUUGUCGUACUCGUACCUAGAUAAAUGUAAGAAUUUUGUUAAAUAACUUACGAGUUACUUAUUUGGAAUAUGUGCUUUAUUAUUUAA